rnacentral:rRNA from 1 species
CAGCCGCCGCGGGAAUACGUAGGGUGCGAGCGUUAAUCGGAAUUACUGGGUGUAAAGCGUGCGCAGGCGGUUUUGUAAGACAGGCGUGAAAUCCCCGGGCUCAACCUGGGAAUGGCGCUUGUGACUGCAAAGCUAGAGUGCGGCAGAGGGUGAUGGAAUUCCGCGUGUAGCAGUGAAAUGCGUAGAUAUGCGGAGGAACACCGAUGGCGAAGGCAAUCCCCUGGGCCUGCACUGACGCUCAUGCACGAAAGCGUGGGGAGCAAACAGGAUUAGAUACCCGCGUAGUCCCUGUCUCUUAUAC